rnacentral:rRNA from 1 species
UGUGUAGGCGGUUUUCUAAGUUCGGUGUGAAAUCUCCCGGCUUAACUGGGAGGGUGCGCCGGAAACUGGAAGGCUUGAGUAUGGGAGAGGAAGGCGGAAUUCCUGGUGUAGCGGUGAAAUGCGUAGAUAUCAGGAGGAACACCUGCGGUGUAGACAGCUUUCUGGACCAUCACUGACGCUGAGACACGAAAGCGUGGGUAGCAAACAGGAUUAGAUACCCUGGUAGUCCACGCCCUAAACGAUGCAUACUUGGUGUGAGCCGUUCAGUCGGUUCGUGCCGGAGCUAACGCGUUAAGUAUGCCGCCUGGGGAGUACGGUCGCAAGGCUGAA